rnacentral:rRNA from 1 species
UAAGGAAUAUUGGUCAAUGGACGCAAGUCUGAACCAGCCAUGCCGCGUGAAGGAUUAAGGUCCUCUGGAUUGUAAACUUCUUUUAUCUGGGACGAAAAAAGGCGAUUCUUCGUCACUUGACGGUACCAGAUGAAUAAGCACCGGCUAACUCCGUGCCAGCAGCCGCGGUAAUACGGAGGGUGCAAGCGUUAUCCGGAUUCACUGGGUUUAAAGGGUGCGUAGGCGGGCAGGUAAGUCAGUGGUGAAAUCCUGGAGCUUAACUCCAGAACUGCCAUUGAUACUAUCUGUCUUGAAUAUUGUGGAGGUAAGCGGAAUAUGUCAUGUAGCGGUGAAAUGCUUAGAUAUGACAUAGAACACCUAUUGCGAAGGCAGCUUACUACGCAUAUAUUGACGCUGAGGCACGAAAGCGUGGGGAUCAAACA